AUUCUAGAGCUAAUACAUGCUAAAAAUCCCGACUCACGGAGGGAUGUAUUUAUUAGAUUAAAAACCAAUGCCCUUCGGGGCUUCUUGGUGAUUCAUAAUAACUUCGCGAAUCGCAUGGCCUUGUGCCGGCGAUGGUUCAUUCAAAUUUCUGCCCUAUCAACUUUCGAUGGCAGGGUCUUGGCCUGCCAUGGUUACAACGGGUAACGGAGGGUUAGGGCUCGACCCCGGAGAAGGAGCCUGAGAAACGGCUACUACAUCCAAGGAAGGCAGCAGGCGCGCAAAUUACCCAAUCCCGAUUCGGGGAGGUAGUGACAAUAAAUACCGAUACAGGGCUCUUUUGGGUCUUGUAAUUGGAAUGAGUACAAUUUAAAUCCCUUAACGAGUAACAAUUGGAGGGCAAGUCUGGUGCCAGCAGCCGCGGUAAUUCCAGCUCCAAUAGCGUAUAUUAAAGUUGUUGCAGUUAAAAAGCUCGUAGUUGAACCUUGGGCCUGGCUGGCCGGUCCGCCUCACCGCGUGCACUGGUUCGGCCGGGCCUUUCCCUCUGGGGAUCCCCAUGCCCUUCACUGGGUGUGGCGGGGAACCAGGACUUUUACUGUGAAAAAAUUAGAGUGUUCAAAGCAGGCCUAUGCUCGGAUACAUUAGCAUGGAAUAAUAGAAUAGGACGUGCGGUUCUAUUUUGUUGGUUUCUAGGACCGCCGUAAUGAUUAAUAGGGACAGUCGGGGGCAUCAGUAUUCAAUUGUCAGAGGUGAAAUUCUUGGAUUUAUUGAAGACUAACUACUGCGAAAGCAUUUGCCAAGGAUGUUUUCAUUAAUCAGGAACGAAAGUUAGGGGAUCGAAGACGAUCAGAUACCGUCGUAGUCUUAACCAUAAACUAUGCCGACUAG
rnacentral:rRNA from 1 species